UAAACAAAUAAAUUUUUGUUUGAUGUUAUAAAAAUCAAACAGCUUUUUAUCAUACGAGGUGAGGAGGAUCUCAGUGGAAGAGAGAUCUACUCUGGUCUUCUCAUCCAGACACAAUUAGCUAUGGUUUUUUUGUUUAUUACAGUUCAAAAGGAAAAUAAAAUUACAACUAUUAAAUUACCUAGGACCCAAACUAUGCAAAUGUUACAGAUUAAAACCUUGGAAGCAUACUCAGAACACAGAAUAUCUCACAAUGUAUCGCUGAUUAAAUAAUAGCACUUUAUUAGAUUAAGAUCACAAAGUGUAACAUAAUUUAAAAAAAAAGACCUAUGUUACGAAGAAGGUAUUGCCUUACUUGAGACAAAUGGAAAGGUAAACCAGGAUUGUCUUCAUGGGUUUCUGACACUUUGAAUCUACCUCAAAUUUGUGAAAUUUAGUUGCAAAAGAAAUGCCCAUUAAGGCAGAUUCCCAAUCUAUCAUUCCCAUUGUGUAGGGUUUUACUAGUUUAAAAGGCGUAUCCUAUGGGUUUUUUUCUUUUUCUUUUAAAGAAGGUUCUUUUUUUCUUUUUUUUUAGUCUCUAAGAAAGUGUUUUUUUUAUUUUAUUUUUUGUCCCAUUAUUUAUCACAUCCAUGUUCCCCUAAGAACUUACAGAGGAAAAAAUAAAGAUUUACUAUGUUUGUUGAACCUCAUUUCAAUUUCUGUUUUUAUUCAGUUUUCUUGGUGCAUCAUCCUAAUCGACUGUCCAGGCCAACAUUUCAGAAUUUGCAAAAUGUACCAAGGGAUUCUAUGCUUGGGCUACAAUUAAUUAACACAACAUAAUAGCCUUUAUAUUCUUCUCUACGUACCUAUAGCAUGGCCAUAGAGUACAGCCAUUUAAAAUCUUCGAUGAAGACUAUCUACCCUUGCAUAAGUCCUGAUCCACUAAAUUUGAAGCAGCAGUCUUUUGGAAUCACAAAAGAGUGAUCAUGGAGAUGUUGCUGUUUAUGUAACAACAUGGGCAGAAAAGAUCUAGUACACAAAAAGUUUCAUCAGUUUCAGGUGAUGUGUCAUUAGGUGAAACAGAUGAAACCUUCCCUAUUUUCUAUUUCCUCCCUUCCUUUCUCUGCAAUUCCCUCCCCGCAUUCCUUCCUUCUUUUAUCAAAGUCUAUCUAUCAUCUAUUUAUAGACCUAUCACCUUUCAAUCCUGAGUAAGUAGCAUGUAAUAUGAGAAUGCAAUAAAUUUAUUUGGGAUAGGUACUAUAGAGGCAGGGUAACUGAAUUUCUGCAGAUUCUACUACUGACCUUGUGUAUCUGAGUGUGUGUGUGUGUGUGUGUGACAGAGAGAGAGAGAGAGAAAGAGAGAGAUGGAGGGAGGAUAUACAGAGAGAUUACUUUAACUUUUCUUCAGCAUUUUUACUCCAUGUGAGACCUCAGAGAUUUCAAUAUCAAAAGUAUUUCAUAUCACUCUGAAGUGUAAGGCUCCUAAAAGUCAUUAGGAGGCUUCAUUUUAUAGAUAAAAAACCCAGGGCCUGGACAUCUGAGGUGAAACUACCCGUUAAUAGCAGCGCUUACAUCUUAUACUCACCCUUCCUGAUCUUCAAUCAAUCACAAUCCUUUCCCUCCACUCUAGCUAAAAUCUAAAAGUUCUUCCUCUAUUAAGAGAAACAUAAAUCAAAUAUAAACGACUAUAAAAUGCAGAAAUAUUAAAAGGGAGGACAAAUGAAGGGCAAGUACAAGUACAGUUUAAAAGUUAUAAAGUUCUGCUUAUUUUUUCCAUAUUUAAUGUUUUUAACUCUUAUGAAGAAAAGCCAGAUGGAAAACACAAAUCUGAUGUGAUUAAUAAAUGGAACUUAUUUAUUGACAAUUAUAGGAUGUAUUACCUAUCACAGUAAAGCAUUCUGAAAACAAGUUAAAAUCCUCUAAAAAGUAUUAAAAACAAAAAAAGUCACAAGCUGAGACAUGCAGUAAUGUCUAUAAUUUCAUGGCUUUUGUAAGUGUGUGAGCCCUAAGAAUAACCACGAGAAGAUGUGAUGGUUUUUCCCUAGCAUUGAAUAAAGAGUGCUUACAUUAAUUUGUACCAAACAGAAAGUUUCCUGAUCUUAGAUAAAGAAAAAAUUGCCCUCAGCUUUUCAUCUUCUUUUGUCACCUUGUAGCCAAGGCUGAAAUGCUUUCUGCCAUGCCUAACAGAGUACCUGGCACUUAGGUAAUCAUAAGGUCGUAACUGUAGAAUGACUUUUUUAAAAAUAAAAUAAUGAGUAGCUUCCUCCCAAGUUCCCAAACUGGAUUAGCAGAGGAACCUCUAAGGAGCUCUGUCUAUGCCUGCCUUUGGGUUCCUUUGGACUAGUGGGACAAGUUCUUUCAUGUAGCAUCAAGCCCACAUGCUUCCUUCAUUCUAGUAUCCCCACUGUAUAAAAGAAACCUCUAUGAAGCUAGUUGUACAAAGAGACCUUUAGACAAGGUGUCUUAGUUUCCUUUACUAAUGACACUUCCAAAUUGGAGAUGAUGAUUUGUUUCAUUCUAUAAAAAUCACGGAAGAUAGGAAUCUUUCCUUCCACCAAUUUUAAAGUUUUAAAUUUCAAACUUUCCUGAUUUAUUCUUUACCAACUACUUAACAAAACAAUUUGGAAUUUGGCAUUAUUUGGAAUCUGUCAUUGGCCUUGUACAAUAUCUGAUGGAUAGGAAAGCCUACUAUGUCAGAAAUAUACACAUUUUAGUUUAUAAUUUUGUUGAAUCUUGUGAUUUAUCAUAAGUUAAAAUAUCUUUAGGAGGUAGUAUUCAUCAUUGCUUUCCUUGAUAAGUUAUUCAAAGUUAGCUAAUAAUCUAAUGAUCAUGGACCACUUAACAUGCUUUCUUACAGAUAAGAUAAACUGUGAAACCAAGUACCAAAACAUUAUACGUAAAAAUGAAUGUCUGAAUUAAAUUAGUUGUUCAUUAUUUUAAAAAGUAGAGGCUUUAUUUUCUUCUUUUAGAAAAUUAAAUAAUGUGUGAUACUGUUACUGAAAAUCUUAUCUACUACUAUUUGCUUUGGACAGGGAAAGCCAAAAUAACAGCCCAUGGACCAAAUCUGGCCUACCACCUGUUUUUGUAAAUAAAACUUUGUUGGAAUACAGCUAUAUUCAUUCAUUCACAUGACAUCCAUGGCUGAUUGUGUACUGCCGCAGCUAAGUUGCAUAGCUUUGACAGAGACCCUAUGGCUUCCAAAGUCAAAAAUACUUACUAUCUUAAAAAAAAGUUUCUCUACCACAGACUUAAGCUAUGAGUCAAUGGCAAAAUAGCUUUUAUAAAUCCCCAACAUUUUCUGGUGAGAUAUCCUGGUCAAAAAAAAAAUAUUUAUUUUUGCUAUUUCAUAAACAGAGGAAUCUGAAGUGCUAAUCAAACUUUCACAUGGCAUAAUGGAUGUAGAGAGGUAUCCUCUCUUGAAUUGUACAUUAUUAUGCAGAGUCAGCCUAUAUAUUAAAAAUGAGUAAAUAAUGUGAAUCUACGAGAAUAUGUCAUUUGCCUAUAGUAGUUUUCAUCCAUCACCUUAUUCCUGCCAUAGCUUUUAAACAAGUUAUUGGACAGAGGGUGGGGUAAUGGUACAUGUGAUAAACUGCCCAUAAGAUGAAACCAUUUUUUUCUUAAUUUUUAAUAUAUUGGUUUCUUCACUUACCCUGAAAACUAUCCCUAUUUUUAAUCCUUAGCAGGACACUUUAACUAGGACAUCAUUCAAGAUUUCACUGUUAUAACCAUAUGUUAAUUUCUAUUUUACUCCUUUCUGCAAUUCACAGCCUCUUAUUUUCCAUGGUACACUUGCUUUUCACACACUACAGUGAUGUUUAUCCUUUGCAUACCUAAUUCCAUUUGAGUAGGAGAGAGGAAACACAGCAAUCCAGGUCUCUGAGUAAAUAGUCCUCCAAUUUCAUAAAAAAAAAUUUCUUUUAAUUGGUCUCUGGAGCUUUGACUUUUAUUAACAAUUUUAAACAAAACUUCUCUGUUGGAAAGACACAAACAGACACCAAUAGCUGCGACAGCUCUGUUGGAAGAUCAAAUAAUAUUAUUCAUUGCUAAUAUAAUUCCACUUACAAGUGGACCCGUCACUGGAUAAUCUGACACCAAGGAUAAAUUAAGGAAUUAUGUAGGUAACAGUCACCUGCAUUAAGGAAGAUUUAUAAUAAAAACAAUUUAUGAAUAAUAAAAAAAUAAUUUAUGAUAAACAUACAUCCAUAUAAACUCAAUGGAGAAAAGCUUCAAGACUUCCUGCUAACAAGACAAGGAUGCACACUCUCACCACUUUUUUUCUAACAUGUUACUGGAAGUCCUAGUCAUAGCAAUGAGACAAUUAAAAAAAAAAGAUAUCCAAAUUGGAAGGGAAGAGGUAAAAUUGUCACUAUAUGCAGAUGACAUGAUACUAUAUAUAUAGAAAGCUCUAAGGACACCACACAAAAACUACUAGAUCUGAUCAACAUAUUCAGCAAAGUAGUAGUAUACAAGAUUGACAUUCAGAAAUUCAUUGCCUUUCUACAUACUAACAAGGAAAUUAUCAGGAAAGGAUGUAAAAAAUUUAACUUUUAAAAUCAUACCCCCAAAAAAAUACCUAGGAAUAAACCUGACCAAGUGGGUGGAAGACUUACAUGCUGACAACAUUAAUAAAGGAAAUUAAAGACAGUUUCACAGAACUAUAACAAAUAAUCCAAAAAUUUACAUGGAACCAUGUAAGACCCAGAAUUGCAAUCCUGAGGCAGAGGAAAAAAGAAGGAAGAAUAAUUCUUCCAGACUUCAAACAAUACUACCAAGCUAUAGUAAUCAAAACUUUGUCAUACUGGCACGAAAACAGACAUAUGGGUCAAUGGAACAGAAGAGAGAGCUCAGAAAGAAACCCACACACCUACAGUCAAUUAAUGUUCAACAAAGGAGGCAAGAAUAUAAAAUUGGAAAAAGUCUCUUCAGCAGGUGGUGCUGGCAGAACUGGACAGCUGCAUAUAAAUCAAUGAACUUACUAGAACACACCCUCACACCAUUUACAAAAAUGAGCUCAAAAUGGCAUAAAGACUCAAACAUAAUACAUGACAUCAUAAAACUCCUAGAAGAGAACAUAGGCAAAACAUUCUCUGACAUAAAUUGUACAAAUGUUUUAUAAGGUCAGUCUCCCAAU
rnacentral:lncRNA from 1 species